rnacentral:rRNA from 1 species
AGGACGAACGCUGGCGGCGUGCCUAACACAUGCAAGUGGAGCGACGAACCAGGCUUCGGCCUGGGGCAGAGCCGCGAACGGGUGAGUAACACGUGGGUAACCUGCCCUGAUGAUUGGGACAACCCGAGGAAACUCGGGCUAAUACCGAAUGUGCCCUCUGGCCUCAAGGCCUCUGGGGAAAGGAAGCUUCGGCCUCCGCAUCGGGAUGGGCCCGCGGCCCAUUAGCUUGUUGGUGAGGUAACGGCUCACCAAGGCAACGAUGGGUAGCUGGUCUGAGAGGACGACCAGCCACACUGGGACUGAGACACGGCCCAGACUCCUACGGGAGGCAGCAGUGGGGAAUCUUGCGCAAUGCGCGAAAGCGUGACGCAGCAACGCCGCGUGGGGGAAGACGGCCUUCGGGUUGUAACCCCUUUCAGCAGGGACGAAGCGAAAGUGACGGUACCUGCAGAAAAGCACCGGCUAACUACGUGCCAGCAGCCGC